rnacentral:piRNA from 1 species
UUCUUUUGUCAAAGGUCCUCAAGUGUCCC